GUGCGGCGUGCUUAACACAUGCAAGUCGAACGGAAAGGCCCUGCUUUUGUGGGGUGCUCGAGUGGCGAACGGGUGAGUAACACGUGAGUAACCUGCCCUUGACUUUGGGAUAACUUCAGGAAACUGGGGCUAAUACCGGAUAGGAGCUCCUGCUGCAUGGUGGGGGUUGGAAAGUUUCGGCGGUUGGGGAUGGACUCGCGGCUUAUCAGCUUGUUGGUGGGGUAGUGGCUUACCAAGGCUUUGACGGGUAGCCGGCCUGAGAGGGUGACCGGCCACAUUGGGACUGAGAUACGGCCCAGACUCCUACGGGAGGCAGCAGUGGGGAAUAUUGCACAAUGGGCGGAAGCCUGAUGCAGCAACGCCGCGUGCGGGAUGACGGCCUUCGGGUUGUAAACCGCUUUCGCCUGUGACGAAGCGUGAGUGACGGUAAUGGGUAAAGAAGCACCGGCUAACUACGUGCCAGCAGCCGCGGUGAUACGUAGGGUGCGAGCGUUGUCCGGAUUUAUUGGGCGUAAAGGGCUCGUAGGUGGUUGAUCGCGUCGGAAGUGUAAUCUUGGGGCUUAACCCUGAGCGUGCUUUCGAUACGGGUUGACUUGAGGAAGGUAGGGGAGAAUGGAAUUCCUGGUGGAGCGGUGGAAUGCGCAGAUAUCAGGAGGAACACCAGUGGCGAAGGCGGUUCUCUGGGCCUUUCCUGACGCUGAGGAGCGAAAGCGUGGGGAGCGAACAGGCUUAGAUACCCUGGUAGUCCACGCUGUAAACGGUGGGUACUAGGUGUGGGGUCCAUUCCACGGGUUCCGUGCCGUAGCUAACGCUUUAAGUACCCCGCCUGGGGAGUACGGCCGCAAGGCUAAAACUCAAAGGAAUUGACGGGGCCCCGCACAAGCGGCGGAGCAUGCGGAUUAAUUCGAUGCAACGCGUGGAACCUUACCUGGGUUUGACAUGGAUCGGGAGUGCUCAGAGAUGGGUGUGCCUCUUUUGGGGUCGGUUCACAGGUGGUGCAUGGCUGUCGUCAGCUCGUGUCGUGAGAUGUUGGGUUAAGUCCCGCAACGAGCGCAACCCUUGUUCACUGUUGCCAGCACGUUAUGGUGGGGACUCAGUGGAGACCGCCGGGGUCAACUCGGAGGAAGGUGGGGAUGACGUCAAGUCAUCAUGCCCCUUAUGUCCAGGGCUUCACGCAUGCUACAAUGGCUGGUACAGAGAGUGGCGAGCCUGUGAGGGUGAGCGAAUCUCGGAAAGCCGGUCUCAGUUCGGAUUGGGGUCUGCAACUCGACCUCAUGAAGUCGGAGUCGCUAGUAAUCGCAGAUCAGCAACGCUGCGGUGAAUACGUUCCCGGGGCUUGUACACACCGCCCGUCAAGUCAUGAAAGUUGGUAACACCCGAAGCCGGUGGCCUAACCGUUGUGGGGGAGCCGUCGAAGGUGGGACUGGUGAUUA
rnacentral:rRNA from 1 species